GGUCGCUUAAUGGUAAAGCAUCCAACCAACAAUUGGGGGAUCUGGGUUCGAGUCCCGGCC
rfam:Strigamia maritima strain Brora ctg7180001231100, whole genome shotgun sequence.